rnacentral:tRNA from 1 species
GGGUUAGUAGCUCAACUGGAUAGAGCAUCGGUUUACGGAACCGAAGGUUCGGGGUUCGAAUCCCUGCUAGCCCG